rnacentral:sRNA from 1 species
GCCAGGCACAGUGGCCCAUGCCUGUAAUUUCAGCCACUUUGGAGGCUGAGACAGGAGGAUCAUGAGUUUGAAGCCAGUCUCAGCAAAAGCAAGGUGCUAAGCAACUCAGGGAGACUCUGUCUCUA